rnacentral:rRNA from 1 species
UACAGAGGGUGCAAGCGUUGUUCGGAAUUAUUGGGCGUAAAGGGCGCGUAGGCGGUUCGGCAAGUCUCUAGUGAAAUCUCUGGGCUCAACUCAGAGUCUGCUGGGGAAACUGCCGGGCUUGAGUGUGGGAGAGGAGAGUGGAAUUCCCGGUGUAGCGGUGAAAUGCGUAGAUAUCGUAAGGAAGACCAGUGGCGGAAGGCGGGUCUCUGGACA